AGGCUGUUGCUCUUGAGUCGCCUGCAUGCCAGGAGCACAAGUACACGAGCCAGAACUCUCCCUUCCGCACUCCGGUGAUGAGAGAAAGACCAUGACAAGUAUCAUUUCUGGUAUUUGGCCUGUCUGACGGACAAUGGAUUUACAAAAUUACCACUGUCCCAUGGAAGAUACAGGCUGUGGUAGCGGUGACCAUAAGGGCAGGGUUUUGAGCAAGGAAAAAGUGUGCUAGAAGGCCUCUCUGAACAGCUUCUCUCGCACAGAAAUAAGACAUCCAGUGCCAACACUUCUGCUUUUGUAAGCCAGCCUCAUAGAAGGAUGGAUCCAUUAUAGUAUGUUAUUGCCCACUGUGACAGCUCCCAACUUCUCUUAAGCAGAGAUUAUCUGAACAGAUGGACCACUGAAACUAUCAAAGGUGGAAUUCCUCAUGUUUCUAUGUUCUUACAAGAAAAUUGAAGACAAGGUUCAAAAAACUUCCAAUCUAUGAGUCACAGUGAAAAAACUUUUAGAACUACCAACCCAAGUUUCAGUGAGAAGACUAAGAAGAGAUGCUAACUCUGGAUCUUUAACAAUGCAAUUGUUUAUAAAUAGCUUUUUCCUAUGGGCAACAUUUAUCUUUCAUGCAGCUGGUCAUAUUACAAAGGUGGUAGUAAAUGACUAUGCUGCAACAAAGUUCUUUAGAGUAACUGUGGUGAGCUAGUAGCAAAGCCAGUACAGUUUGAAGGAGCAGAG